UGAACGCUGGCGGUCGGCCUAACACAUGCAAGUCGAACGGCAGCACAGUAAGAGCUUGCUCUUACGGGUGGCGAGUGGCGGACGGGUGAGGAAUACAUCGGAAUCUACUUUUUCGUGGGGGAUAACGUAGGGAAACUUACGCUAAUACCGCAUACGACCUACGGGUGAAAGCAGGGGAUCUUCGGACCUUGCGCGAUUGAAUGAGCCGAUGUCGGAUUAGCUAGUUGGCGUGGUAAAGGCCCACCAAGGCGACGAUCCGUAGCUGGUCUGAGAGGAUGAUCAGCCACACUGGAACUGAGACACGGUCCAGACUCCUACGGGAGGCAGCAGUGGGGAAUAUUGGACAAUGGGCGCAAGCCUGAUCCAGCCAUACCGCGUGGGUGAAGAAGGCCUUCGGGUUGUAAAGCCCUUUUGUUGGGAAAGAAAAGCAGCAGGUUAAUACCCCGCUGUUCUGACGGUACCCAAAGAAUAAGCACCGGCUAACUUCGUG
rnacentral:rRNA from 1 species